CCUACGGGCGGCAGCAGUGGGGAAUAUUGCACAAUGGGGGAAACCCUGAUGCAGCGACGCCGCGUGAGUGAAGAAGUAUUUCGGUAUGUAAAGCUCUAUCAGCAGGGAAGAAGGAACACGGUACCUGACUAAGAAGCCUCGGCUAACUACGUGACAGCAGCCGCGGUAAUACGGAGGGCGCAAGCGUUGUCCGGAUUGACUGGGUGUAAAGGGAUCGUAGACGGCUGGGCAAGUCAGAAGUGAAAGCCCAGGGCUCAACCCUGGGACUGCCUUGGAAACUGGGGAGCUAGAGUGCUGGAGAGGUAAGUGGAAUUCCGAGUGUAGCGGUGAAAUGCGUAGAUAUUAGGAGGAACACCAGUGGCGAAGGCGGCUUACUGGACAGUAACUGACGUUGAGGCUCGAAAGCGUGGGGAGCAAACAGGAUUAGAUACCCCAGUAGUC
rnacentral:rRNA from 1 species